GACACUGCCGUUGUUCGGGCCAAGCAUUCUGCGCGAGUGGCUCUGCACCCCUGGCUGGGAGGCUGCCGGGGACUGCGCGCCUGGAGGAGUGGAUGUUGCCUUUGCAUCAAAUGCCCUUCUGUGACAACGAAACAUUUCUACUGAUAUAAAUGGGCUGCUUUAAAUGCGUUUAAAAGUUGAUGUGGCCACAACGUAGUCAGUGGAGGAAAGGGUUUUUUGCAGUUGUGUUGUCACAGCGAGCUGGAACAUGCACAGGGCAAUGAGGGCUGUGCAGGUGCCCUUGAGUGAACAGAAGUGUGACAAGGACGUACCUUGAGUGACAAACAUUGAGCUCUGACGUCAGGAUGGACUGUCCUAUGUUUCUAAUUAAUGACUUUCCUCUGCUUACAAGUUCUGAAAAGAGUGACCUCUGCCCAGUGAAAGCUGUUUCCUGUUGUCUUUCUGGCACUGUGAUGGCUCUUCUAUGUGCUGCCAAGGCUUUAUGUUCAGUCAAGAUAUGUGAGUAUUGAAAAUUGUCUUGGUAUUUUCCUAUUCAAAAAAUAACUGUAGGUAAGUCAAUAAUAGGUUGAUUAGCUUUCUCUGGAGAUGUACCUUUUUAGUGUCUACUUAUUGAUUUCUUCUUCUAGCUACAGCACAAUAAAAUAAAAUGACAGAAACA
rnacentral:lncRNA from 1 species